rnacentral:tRNA from 1 species
AAUUUUUAACUGUGCAAUUCAGUUUAAUUUGAUAAUUAGAAUCUUACUUAUUUUUAUUUUGUUUUAUGAGAAAAAU